rnacentral:rRNA from 1 species
AGUGAACGCUGGCGGUAGGCCUAACACAUGCAAGUCGAACGGCAGCACAGAGGAGCUUGCUCCUUGGGUGGCGAGUGGCGGACGGGUGAGGAAUACAUCGGAAUCUACUAUGUCGUGGGGGAUAACGUAGGGAAACUUACGCUACUACCGCAUACGACCUACGGGUGAAAGCAGGGGAUCUUCGGACCUUGCGCGAUUGAAUGAGCCGAUGUCGGAUUAGCUAGUUGGCGGGGUAAAGGCCCACCAAGGCGACGAUCCGUAGCUGGUCUGAGGGGAUGAUCAGCCACACGGGAGCUGAGACACGGUCCAGACUCCUACGGGAGGCAGCAGUGGGGAAUAUUGGACAAUGGGCGCAAGCCUGAUCAAGCCAUACCGCGUGGGUGAAGAAGGCCUUCGGGUUGUAAAGCCCUUUUGUUGGGAAAGAAAUCCAUCUGGUUAAUACCCGGGUGGGAUGACGGUACCCAAAGAAUAAGCACCGGCUAACUUCGUGCCAGCCGCCGCAGUAA